CUCUUUCUGGAACCAAAUGUAUACACAGAAAAGUGUGGACAUGCAUUUUCACUUUCAAUACUGUCUAGGAAUAUACUGAAAUAAUCUCUGAAAAAAUUGAUUUCACAGGACCUGAUGCAAACCUUGCUGAAGUCAAUGAGAAACUUUCCACUGCUGUCAGUGACAUUUGGAUCAGGCUCUUGGAUCUUGCUGGCUGGGACUGAAAGUAGCAGUGCUACUAAACUCUUCACCUUUGGAGAUGAAUCCGUCCCUAGCUUUUACAGGCUGUUUGUGCUUCACACACAUUUUCAACUCCCUGGCUUCCAGUGCUAUCUGGCAACCUUCCAGAGCUGUCUCAAUUUUUCACCUCAAGCCUUCCUCUGCUGCUUGGAUGAGCACUUUUCUGUCUGCCAGCUGCUUCAGACAUGAAGGAGUCUUAAAUUUGGGGAGCAGAAGAUCUAACGCUGGGACACUGGGCUAGUUUCUGUGUGUGUGUCUUUGCCCCUUGAGGCUUUCUGUGGAUGAAAAUGGAAGAAAGAGCUCAAAUAAUAUAUGUCUUUGUUUAGACUCUA